rnacentral:rRNA from 1 species
GUGCCAGCCGCCGCGGUAAUACGGAGGGUGCGAGCGUUAAUCGGAAUUACUGGGCGUAAAGCGCACGCAGGCGGUUUGUUAAGCUAGAUGUGAAAGCCCCGGGCUCAACCUGGGACGGUCAUUUAGAACUGGCAGACUAGAGUCUUGGAGAGGGGAGUGGAAUUCCAGGUGUAGCGGUGAAAUGCGUAGAUAUCUGGAGGAACAUCAGUGGCGAAGGCGACUCCCUGGCCAAAGACUGACGCUCAUGUGCGAAAGUGUGGGUAGCGAACAGGAUUAGAAACCCGAGUAGUCC